rnacentral:rRNA from 1 species
CACGUAGUUAGCCGGCGCUUCUUCUGCAGGUACCGUCACUUUCGCUUCUUCCCUACUGAAAGAGGUUUACAACCCGAAGGCCGUCAUCCCUCACGCGGCGUCGCUGCAUCAGGCUUGCGCCCAUUGUGCAAUAUUCCCCACUGCUGCCUCCCGUAGGAGUCUGGGCCUGUCUCAGUCCCAGUGUGGCCGGUCACCCUCUCAGGCCGGCUACCCGGUCGUCGCCUUGGUGAGCCAUUACCUCACCAACAAGCUGAUAGGCCGCGAGUCCAUCCAAGACCAAUAAAUCUUUCCACCCCCACAUGCGUGAGAAGUCAUACUCCAGUAUUAGACCCUAGUUUCCCAGGCUUACUCCCAGAGUCAAGGGCAGUUACUCACGUGUUACUCACCCGUUCGACCACUAACUCCCACCAGCAAGCGUCGGGCUUCACGUCGUUCGACUU